ensembl:misc_RNA Metazoa_SRP Metazoan signal recognition particle RNA
GCCAGGUGUGGUGGCUCUCACCUGUAAUCCCAGCAUUUUAGGAGGCUGAGGUGGGAGGAUUGCUUGAGCCCAGGAGUUCCAGAUCAGCCUGGGCAAGAUGGUAAGACCCCACUUCUA